rnacentral:sRNA from 1 species
AUUCCUACUCCCAGCAACCACUGAUCUGCUUUCUGUCUCUAGAAAUUCUCUGUCUCGGGCCAUUUCGUAGAAAUGGGCUCAUGAAGUUACAAAGCUUUCUAACUAACUGGCAGACAAUGCAUAUUCAAGAGUUCCUGCUACAUCGAUGUACGCUGGUUUCCCUUUGAUGUGCAGCAUUGCAAACUGAAGUUUGGGUCCUGGUCUUACGGAGGCUGGUCCUUGGAUCUGCAGAUGCAGGAGGCAGAUAUCAGUGGCUAUAUCCCCAAUGGAGAAUGGGACCUAGUGGGAAUCCCUGGCAAGAGGAGUGAAAAGUUCUAUGAGUGCUGCAAAGAGCCCUACCCCGAUGUCACCUUCACAGUGACCAUGCGCCGCAGGACGCUCUACUAUGGCCUCAACCUGCUGAUCCCCUGUGUGCUCAUCUCUGCCCUCGCCCUGCUGGUGUUCCUGCUUCCUGCAGAUUCCGGGGAGAAGAUUUCCCUGGGGAUAACAGUCUUACUCUCUCUCACUGUCUUCAUGCUGCUGGUAGCCGAGAUCAUGCCCGCAACAUCCGAUUCGGUACCACUGAUAGCCCAGUACUUCGCCAGCACCAUGAUCAUCGUGGGCCUCUCAGUGGUGGUGACCGUGAUCGUGCUGCAGUACCACCACCACGACCCCGAAGGGGGCAAGAUGCCCAAGUGGACCAGAGUCAUCCUUCUGAACUGGUGCGCAUGGUUCCUGCGAAUGAAGAGGCCCGGGGAGGACAAGGUGCGCCCGGCCUGCCAGCACAAGCAGCGGCGCUGCAGCCUGGCCAGCGUGGAGAUGAGCGCCAUGGCGCCGCCGCCCGCCAGCAAUGGGAACCUGCUGUACAUCGGCUUCCGCGGCCUGGAUGGCAUGCACUGCACCCCAACCCCCGACUCCGGGGUGGUAUGUGGCCGCAUGGCCUGCUCCCCCACGCAUGACGAGCACCUCCUGCACAGUGGGCAGCCCCCCGAGGGGGACCCGGACCUGGCCAAGAUCCUGGAGGAGGUCCGCUACAUCGCCAACCGCUUCCGCUGCCAGGACGAAAGCGAGGCGGUCUGCAGCGAGUGGAAGUUCGCCGCCUGCGUGGUGGACCGCCUGUGCCUCAUGGCCUUCUCGGUCUUCACCAUCAUCUGCACCAUCGGCAUCCUGAUGUCGGCUCCCAACUUCGUGGAGGCCGUGUCCAAAGACUUUGCGUAACCACGCCUGGUUCUGUACAUGUGAAAAACUCACAGAUGGGCAAGGCCUUUGGCUUGGCGAGAUUUGGGGGUGCUAAUCCAGGACAGCAUUAAACGCCACAACUCCAGUGUUCCCUUCUGGCUGUCAGUCGUGUUGCUUACGGUGUCUUUGUUACUUUAGGUAGCAGAAUCUCAGCACUUUGUUUCAUACUCUCAGAUGGGCUGAUAGAUAUCCUUGGCACAUCCGUACUGUCGGUCAGCAGGGCCACUGAGAAGUCAUUUUGCCCAUUAGCACACGGCCUGGAAAGCCCUUCGGAGAGCUCCCAGUGGCUCCUCACCGCCGGGACAGUUGGUUUUGCAUGUCUGCAUGAAGGUCUACCUGAAAAUUCAACAUUUGCUUUUUGCUUGUGUACAAACCCAGAUUGAAGCUAAAAUAAACCAGACUCACUAAAUCUAUUCCAAUAAUUGACUGGUGGAAGGAAAACAAAAAAACUAAAACUAAAAACCUGUUAGCUUUUCUGCAAUUCAACUUUUUAUUUUUAUUUUAUUUUUUCUAUCAAAGACAGUAGAGAGAAACAGCUUGUUGCUGUUUCUACAUUAAAAAAAAAAA